GGGAGAUUUCACAUAAGUACAAUUUCAGGGUUAUUUUAUAAAGACCAAAUGUGGUUAUUAUGGACAAAGUUUGGUUAAAAUAACUGUUACGGGGGUGGGGCCUGACCUGCAAAUGGAGUAGUCGCAUAGGAGCUCCCAAAGCCAUUGCUGAUUUCAUGGAAAUUUCCAGGGAUCCGAUGCUUACCUUGAUGCCGGAAUACGCUGCCCAGGUUGAGGGCACUCUGGCGAAUCGACUGACACCGGUAUAACGGAGGUAGCCCACUGCGGCCUACGGUGGAUGGGGGGAGGUGGCCACUCUCCUCGCCUCUACGCCGGGGGCGCUGAGCCACGAUUGCCCGCUCCCCCCCCCUCCUUAGGACCGGUGGGGAUGAUCCCGGUCCAACCCUGCCAGACAAAAGAGCCAAGGCUGACACAGAUGGCGGAGCCCCACAAGCAACCCCAAGCUCCACAGGCCCACAUAAUGGCGGACGCAAUGUGCGGCCAUGAUGGCUGCGGAGGGGAGACUGCCACGAUGACAAAACUGACCGCAAUCCUCGACGCCUUUUGGGUGAAACUAUAAGCCAGAGAGCGGCAGGCAAAAGCACGAAGGAACCUACCCAGAGAAAGUCCCACAAGUAUCCGCCACAGCCGAGCUAAACCCCGCUCAACAGUCAACAAACCAAAAUGGCGCCGAAGAUGGAGACAUCUCCAGCCAGCCCAUAAGCGCUUAUACAGAGCGGCGAUACCUCCCCAAGAGGACCUACAGAAUCCAGGUCACUCCCGCACGACAUCAAGCACUGCUCAGCGACCACUGAGUGGCAGUCCCUCACCGUGAAUCCAGAGCACGACACAGCCAAGGGGAACUAUAGAGGCCCAGACAAGCACAUCACAUACCUGCACAGUGAUCUCGGGUACCCACAGUAAUGAACAAACGUGCCCACCACGGGAACCACCUCAGCUGGACUUUCCUCUGCUAGAACCCCAUGCCUCUCCUACACACUUCCCCCUGCUGGGUAUUGGAGGAGAGCACGGGGACACUGGCACCUCUGCCGUAAUAAACCCUGGCUAGUCCAUUCUGCGACUCUUUAAGCUGAGAUAGCUGUUCAACCCUGAUCUUUACUGCUUGGUACUACUCAAACGUCUAUGCUCACUGCAUAUAUUACUGAUACCUGCAUGAUAAUCUUAUGUCUUCUAAUAGCUGUGUUUUUAGAUAGCCUGUUACUGGCCAAUGUCAUACCAAAUAGCCUAUGUGUCU